rnacentral:rRNA from 1 species
GACAGCAGUAGCCGCGGGAAUACAGAGGGUGCGAGCGUUAAUCGGAUUUACUGGGCGUAAAGCGUGCGUAGGCGGCUUCUUAAGUCGGAUGUGAAAUCCCUGAGCUUAACUUAGGAAUUGCAUUCGAUACUGGGAAGCUAGAGUAUGGGAGAGGAUGGUAGAAUUCCAGGUGUAGCGGUGAAAUGCGUAGAGAUCUGGAGGAAUACCGAUGGCGAAGGCAGCCAUCUGGCCUAAUACUGACGCUGAGGUACGAAAGCAUGGGGAGCAAACAGGAUUAGAUACCCCAGUAGUCCCUGUCUCUUAUAC